UCAGUCCAGCAUUUGCGGCGGAGAGAAAGGUGGUCGAGUCCUGAAGGAGUGCCUGAUGUCUUCAUCAUUCUCAAAUUCUUGCUUAUCAGGAGGGCAGACUUCAAAAGCUACUAAAAAUGAACGGCACUGAGGAUCUUCCCGAGUCCUAUGACUAUGACCUUAUCAUCAUUGGAGGUGGCUCAGGAGGCCUGGCAGCUGCUAAGGAGGCAGCCCAAUAUGGCAAGAAGGUGAUGGUCCUGGACUUUGUCACUCCCACCCCUCUUGGAACUAGAUGGGGUCUCAGAGGAACAUGUGUGAAUGUGGGUUGCAUACCUAAAAAACUGAUGCAUCAAGCAGCUUUGUUAGGACAAGCCCUACAAGACUCUCGAAACUAUGGAUGGAAAGUCGAGGAGACAGUUAAGCAUGACUGGGACAGAAUGAUAGAAGCUGUACAGAAUCACACUGGCUCUUUGAAUUGGGGCUACCGAGUAGCGCUGUGGGAGAAAAAAGUUGUCUAUGAGAAUGCUUACGGGCAGUUUAUUGGUCCUCACAGGAUUAAGGCAACAAAUAAUAAAGGCAAAGAAAAAAUUUAUUCAGCAGAGAGAUUUCUCAUUGCCACUGGUGAAAGACCACGUUACUUGGGCAUCCCUGGUGACAAAGAAUACUGCAUUAGCAGUGAUGAUCUUUUCUCCUUGCCUUACUGCCCGGGUAAGACCCUGGUCGUUGGAGCAUUCUAUGUCGCUUUGGAGGGUGCUGGAUUUCUUGCUGGUAUUGGUUUAGAUGUCACUGUUAUGGUUAGGUCCAUUCUUCUUAGAGGAUUUGACCAGGACAUGGCCAACAAAAUUGGUGAACAUAUGGAAGAACAUGGCAUCAAGUUUAUAAGACAGUUUGUACCAAUUAAAAUUGAACAAAUUGAAGCGGGGACACCAGGCCGACUCAGAGUAGUAGCUCAGUCCACCAAUAGUGAGGAAAUCAUUGAAGGAGAGUAUAAUACGGUGUUGCUGGCAAUAGGAAGAGAUGCUUGCACAAGAAAAAUUGGCUUAGAAACUGUAGGGGUGAAGAUAAAUGAAAAGACUGGAAAAAUACCUGUCACAGAUGAAGAACAGACCAAUGUGCCUUACAUCUAUGCCAUUGGCGAUAUAUUGGAGGAUAAGGUGGAGCUCACCCCAGUUGCAAUCUCAGAGGCUCUAUGCAGGUUCCACUGUCAAGUGUGACUAUGAAAAUGUUCCAAUCACUGUAUUUACUCCUUUGGAAUAUGGUGCUUGUGGCCUUUCUGAGGAGAAAGCUGUGGAGAAGUUUGGGGAAGAAAAUAUUGAGUUUUACCAUAGUUACUUUUGGCCAUUGGAAUGGACGAUUCCAUCAAGAGAUAACAACAAAUGUUAUGCAAAAAUAAUCUGUAAUACUAAAGACAAUGAACGUGUUGUGGGCUUUCACGUACUGGGUCCAAAUGCUGGAGAAGUUACACAAGGCUUCGCAGCUGCACUCAAAUGUGGACUGACCAAAAAGCAGCUGGACAGCACAACUGGAAUCCACCCUGUCUGUGCAGAGGUAUUCACAACAUUGUCUGUGACCAAGCGCUCCGGGGCAAGCAUCCUCCAGGCUGGCUGCUGAGGUUAAGCCCCAGUGUGGAUGCUGUUGCCAAGAUGCCAAACCACUCACUCGUUUCCGUGCCCAAAUCCAAGGCGAAGCUUUCUAGAGGGUUCUUGGGCUCUCGGCACCCACGUAUCCUGUGCUUACCACCGCCCAAGGCCCCCUUGGAUC